rnacentral:snRNA from 1 species
AAACAUGUUUUUCUACAUAUCGUUUAAAUCUUCCGCCUUUUACAACAAAAUUCCGUGGAUAGGAACACAAUGAGUAUAAGCUAAUUGUUUGAUGCCCUGCUUAACUGCGGGGCA